CCUACGGGUGGCAGCAGUGAGGAAUAUUGGUCAAUGGGCGGGAGCCUGAACCAGCCAAGUCGCGUGAAGGAAGAAGGUACUUAGUAUUGUAAACUUCUUUUGUCGGGGAACAAAGGCGGAGACGCGUCUCCGGUUGAGUGUACCCGAAGAAAAAGCAUCGGCUAACUCCGUGCCAGCAGCCGCGGUAAUACGGAGGAUGCGAGCGUUAUCCGGAUUUAUUGGGUUUAAAGGGUGCGUAGGCGGGGAGAUAAGGUAGCGGUAAAAGUGCGGGGACUAACCCCGGCACGGCCGUUGAAACUGGUUGUCUAGAGUUGGGGAGAGGUAUGCGGAAUUCGUGGUGUAGCGGUGAAAUGCAUAGAUAUCACGAAGAACUCCGAUUGCGAAGGCAGCAUACUGG
rnacentral:rRNA from 1 species